rnacentral:rRNA from 1 species
GCAGUCGCCACGGGAAUACGGAGGGUGCGAGCGUUAAUCGGAAUUACUGGGCGUAAAGCGUGCGCAGGCGGUUGUGUAAGACAGGUGUGAAAUCCCCGGGCUUAACCUGGGAACUGCGCUUGGGACUGCACAGCUAGAGUAUGGCAGAGGGGGGUGGAAUUCCACGUGUAGCAGUGAAAUGCGUAGAGAUGUGGAGGAACACCGAUGGCGAAGGCAGCCCCCUGGGCCAAUACUGAUGCUCAUGCACGAAAGCGUGGGGAGCAAACAGGAUUAGAUACCCCUGUAGUCCUGUCUCUUAUACA